rnacentral:rRNA from 1 species
AGAGUUUGAUCCUGGCUCAGAACGAACGCUGGCGGCAGGCCUAACACAUGCAAGUCGAACGAGAAGCCACCUUCGGGUGGUGGACAGUGGCAGACGGGUGAGUAACGCGUGNNNNNNNNNNNNNNNNNNNNNNNNNNNNNNNNNNNNGGUGGACAGUGGCAGACGGGUGAGUAACGCGUGGGAACGUGCCUUUCGGUUCGGGACAACCCAGGGAAACUUGGGCUAAUACCGGAUACGCCCUUCGGGGGAAAGAUUCAUUGCCGAAAGAUCGGCCCGCGUCGGAUUAGCUAGUUGGUGGGGUAAUGGCCUACCAAGGCGACGAUCCGUAGCUGGUCUGAGAGGAUGACCAGCCACACUGGGACUGAGACACGGCCCAGACUCCUACGGGAGGCAGCAGUGGGGAAUAUUGGACAAUGGGCGAAAGCCUGAUCCAGCCAUGCCGCGUGGGUGAAGAAGGCCUUAGGGUUGUAAACCCCUUUCAGCGGGGAAGAUAAUGACGGUAUAAUACCCUAGACCGAAUGACGUUACUCGCAGAAUAAGCACCGGCUAACUCUGUGCCAGCAGCCGCGGUAAUACAGAGGGUGCAAGCGUUAAUCGGAUUUACUGGGCGUAAAGCGCGCGUAGGUGGCCAAUUAAGUCAAAUGUGAAAUACCCGGGCUCAACCUGGGCAUUGCCUUCAAAACUGCACGGCUAGAGUAUGGGAGAGGAUGGUAGAAUUCCAGGUGUAGCGGUGAAAUGCGUAGAGAUCUGGAGGAAUACCGAUGGCGAAGGCAGCCAUCUGGCCUAAUACUGACACUGAGGUGCGAAAGCAUGGGGAGCAAACAGGAUUAGAUACCCUGGUAGUCCAUGCCGUAAACGAUGUCUACUAGCCGUUGGGGCCUUUGAGGCUUUAAGUGCCGCAGCUAACGCAUCAAGUUGACCGCCUGGGGAGUACGGUCGCAAGACUAAAACUCAAAUGAAUUGACGGGGGCCCGCACAAGCGGUGGAGCAUGUGGUUUAAUUCGAUGCAACGCGAAGAACCUUACCUGGUCUUGACAUCUAGAGAACUUUCCAGAGACGCGAUUGUGCCUUCGGGAACGCGAACACAGGUGCUGCAUGGCUGUCGUCAGCUCGUGUCGUGAGAUGUUGGGUUAAGUCCCGCAACGAGCGCAACCCUUGUCCUUAGUUGCCAGCACGUAAUGGUGGGAACUCUAGGGAGACUGCCGGUGACAAACCGGAGGAAGGUGGGGAUGACGUCAAGUCAUCAUGGCCCUUACGGCCAGGGCUACACACGUACUACAAUGGUAGGGACAGAGGGCUGCAAACCCGCGAGGGCAAGCCAAUCCCAGAAACCCUAUCUCAGCCCGGAUCGGAGUCUGCAACUCGACUCCGUGAAGUCGGAAUCGCUAGUAAUCGCAGAUCAGCAUU